rnacentral:misc_RNA from 1 species
AACGCACAUUGCGCCCGCCAGUAUUCUGGCGGGCAUGCCUGUUCGAGCGUCAUUUCAACCCCUCAGGCCCUGGUGCCUGGCGUCGGGGCGUUCCCUCGCGGGAAGCCCCCAGAGACAGUGGCGGACCAGUCGCGGCUCCGAGCGCAGUAGUAACAUUCUCGCUUUGGAGGUCUGCGGCGGGCUCCCGGCCGUAAAACCCAGCCCCUCAAAAGGCUGACUUCUCAAGGUUGACCUCGGAUCAGGUAGGAAUACCCGCUGAACUUAA